UCGUGUGUUUACCUGGAACGAGACACUGCAAUCGGUGGCUCUGCAGUGUUGUUCAUGAACCUUCACUUCCCAUACUUGGUGGGAAAGCGAUGUAAAAGCAUUCUGCAAUUCUCACAGGUGGAGCAGACCCAUAUUGCACAACAGGGCCUUUUUACAUGCUGAAACACUAACGAGGAAGUGCCGCAGAGACAAAGCAUCAUCCAAAGUAGGGAAGAGUCAUGGUGCCCUGGAGUCACGGCCAAUGAAAACAGCAGAAGAAUGUGGGACAGUCCAUCAAUGAACCAGUUCCUCUCAUUUUGUCACAAGGUGAUUUUGUUGUAGAUAUGUGCUGUGGUGAUGAAGCACAUGCCAGAAAGUCUGCUUUUGUAUGAACAGCUUGCAAAAUGCAGGAACCGGUAUGUGGUUUCAUCAUAGUGUUUGUGCGAGAAGACUUUCAACACUUACAGUACAGCUCAAAAAUACAAAUGGACAGCUGAAUGUCUGAGGAGGAAAUCAAACGCUUACUCGGGCCAGAUAACACAUUUUCAAUCGAUCAAUCAAUCAAUGUUUAUUUCAUUAGCCAUAAAUCACAAGUGUCUCAAAGGGCUGCACAAGCCACAACAACAUCCGCGGUACCUAGCCCACAUAAGGGCAAGGAAAAACUCACCCCAGUGGGACGGUCGGUGACAGUGACUGUGAGAAACCUUGGAGAGGAUGUGGGCAAUCUCCCCCCCCCCUUAUUAUUUUGAGAGCAGAUUAACGACUGAUUAAAUGAUAAUACAAAAUAAUAAUCCAAUAGUAAUGCAAGUAUACCCUUCAAAUAAAAUGAUAAAAUAUUUUUUAACAUUGGUAUUGGAAUGUAAACUUUUAAUUAUCCAAGUUAAAUAAAAAAUAAAUAAUACAAAUAAAAUAUACGCUGUCUGUUAGCAAAAUUUAUACCAUAGGUUCUGUUUCUCUAAAAGAGGGGCUUGGGGACCCUCAAAUAUACACAACCAAAAGCCAUCCAUUUUUCUACCACUUGUGCCUUUUGGGGUCACGGGAGGGGCUGGAGCCAUACCAGCUGCAUUCGAGCAGAAGGUGGGUUACAUCCUGGACAAGUCGCCACCUCAUCGCAAGGCCAACACACAAUAAAUAAAAUGGCGGUCCAAUCCUCGGCUGCAGACGCUAGCUCUUGGGACGUGGACGUCACCUCACUGAAGGGGAAGAGCCUGUGCUGGUGCGUGAGGUUGAAAAGUUCCGGCUGGAUCUAGUUGGUCUUACUUUGACGCACAGUAAGGGUUUAGGAACCAGUCUUCUCGGAAAGGGCUGGGCUCUUUUCCACUCGACCCCCGAGGCUCGGACCCUGUAUGUUGGGGUUUAACCCAGUGGACGAGAGGGUAGUUUCCCUCCACCUCCAGGUGGGGGCACGGGUCCUGACUGUGCUUAAGCAUCAAACAACAGUUCAGAGUACUCGUCCCUUUUGGAGUCCCUAGAGGGAGUACUGGAGAGUGCUCCUUCAGAUGAUUCCCUUGUUCUACUGGGGGACUUCAACGCUCACGUUGGCAACAACAGUGAAACCUGGAGGGGCGUGUUUGGGAGAAAUGGCCUCCCUGAUCUGAACCACAGUGGUGUUUUGUUAUUGAACUUUUGUGCUCGUCACAGAUUGUCCAAAGGGUGUCCAUAUGUGCACUUGGCACCAAGACACCCCAGGCCACAGGUCGAUGAUCAACUUUAAAGUUGUAUCAUUGGAUUUGCGGUCUCAUGUUUUGGAAACUCGGGUGAAGAGCGUGGCGGAGCUUUCAACCAAUCACCACCUGAUGAUGUCGGUUCUGAUGGUGGGGCAGGAUGCCUGACAGACUUGGUAGGCCCCAACAUAUAUUGAGGACCUGCUGGGAACGUCUGGCAGAGUCUCCUGUCAGGGAAGGUUUCAAUUCCCAUCUGCGGAAGAACUUUGAACAUGUAUGAGGGAGACACUGGGAGGAGUGGACCAUGUUCCGCGCCUCCAUUGUCAAGGCAGCUGAUCGGAACCGUGGCCGCAAGGAGGUCGGUGCCUGCCCUGGCGAUGAUCCCAGAACCUGCUGGUGGACACCAGGGGUAAUGGAUGCCGUCAAGCUGUAGGAGUCCUAUCGGGUCCUUUUGGCUCAUGGAACCCCAGAUGCAGUGGACAGGUACAGACAGGCCAAGCAGUGUGCAUUUUUGGCGGUUGCUGGGGCAAAAACUCGAACAUGAAAAGCGUUCGGACAACUUCGGAUAAGCAGAAUAAGAUGGAUGGAUAAAAAAAGUAAUUGCAACCAAAAUCACCACGUUUAUCAUCAUCACAGUAUCGUGUGCUCAAAAAGCACUUGUAGACAUACUAAAAUCUUUUAACAAAGUUGUAUUUUUUUUCAAUAUCUAAUAUGAAUUGACACAGAAUAUACUUUCUUGGCAGAGAAAAUAUUCUGGCUUCAUAAUAGCCAUAUUAUUUUGUAUUUGUGUGUUUAAAUAUAUUAAUAUUCUUCCAUUUUAAUUUGCUAACAUUUUAGAAUGUUCUUUAAUAAAUGUAAAUUGGGUGAUCACUUCCA